rnacentral:rRNA from 1 species
UACGGGGGGAGCAAGCGUUGUUCGGAUUUACUGGGCGUAAAGGGCGCGUAGGCGGCCACCGCAAGUCAGUUGUGAAAUCUCUGGGCUUAACCCAGAAAGGUCAACUGAUACUGCGGGGCUAGAGUGCGGAAGGGGCAACUGGAAUUCUCGGUGUAGCGGUGAAAUGCGUAGAUAUCGAGAGGAACACCUGCGGCGAAGGCGGGUUGCUGGGCUGACACUGACGCUGAGGCGCGAAAGCUAGGGGAGCGAACAGG